AACCAGCAUUGCAAAACAGAAGACAAUUUGGUAGAGAGAAAAGCUAAAACCCUCUUCUUCCCAAAAUAUAAAAUAAUUGAAUAAAUGAUAGGGUAUAGGGAACAUCUAAUCCCUCUUCUUGACUGCCAACGAUUGGAGAUGACUCCUUUCAGGUUGUAGCAAGAAAAGUUAAAAACCAGUAUACAUGGAAGGAUUGCUUUGAAGCAGUUGAAGUUGGGCAUUGCAAAUCAUUGGUGGCGACUUGCACUAUUUGAGUUCUUCCGUAAGGUAUUUCUUCCUUAUUGUGAUCUUCAUUGAAGAGUUAUUGGUUUUCUAUGUAAUAGUGAUUGUUCCUUAUAUUUCAUCAGGAGGGGAUUCUUCUUAGUCUAUGUUUAUGUAAUGACUUCCAUGAAAUUUUCUUAUAAAUAAAAAAUAGUAAAGUUCUCCAUUUUUCAAAAUGGUUUUCUGUUUUUUUUCUUUCUUAUUGGUUGGUGUUAAUUCGCCCCGAUGAUUCAAGUGUCAUGGUUUAGCAGAAAUACCACUUCUAUCUUUGUGUGAUUGCAGAUAUACCACUUCUGUCAUUGGCUUUAUAAAUGCAGUUGAUCAUAUAAUAUUAACACUUAACAGAAUAUUUAUAGAUAUAAACUUACAU